rnacentral:rRNA from 1 species
GUCCACGCCUUAAACGAUGGAUGCUAGCCGUCAGCAAGCAUGCUUGUUGGUGGCGCAGCUAACGCAUUAAGCAUCCCGCCUGGGGAGUACGGCCGCAAGGUUAAAACUCAAAGGAAUUGACGGGGGCCCGCACAAGCGGUGGAGCAUGUGGUUUAAUUCGACGCAACGCGAAGAACCUUACCAGCCCUUGACAUUCUCCGGGCGGUUUCCAGAGAUGGGAUCCUCCCAGCAAUGGGUCGGAGAACAGGUGCUGCAUGGCUGUCGU